rnacentral:rRNA from 1 species
CCUGGCUCAGGAUGAACGCUGGCGGCGUGCUUAACACAUGCAAGUCGAACGGAGCACCCUUGACUGAGGUUUCGGCCAAAUGAUAGGAAUGCUUAGUGGCGGACUGGUGAGUAACGCGUGAGGAACCUGCCUUCCAGAGGGGGACAACAGUUGGAAACGACUGCUAAUACCGCAUGACGCAUGACCGGGGCAUCCCGGGCAUGUCAAAGAUUUUAUCGCUGGAAGAUGGCCUCGCGUCUGAUUAGCUAGAUGGUGGGGUAACGGCCCACCAUGGCGACGAUCAGUAGCCGGACUGAGAGGUUGACCGGCCACAUUGGGACUGAGAUACGGCCCAGACUCCUACGGGAGGCAGCAGUGGGGAAUAUUGGGCAAUGGACGCAAGUCUGACCCAGCAACGCCGCGUGAAGGAAGAAGGCUUUCGGGUUGUAAACUUCUUUUGUCAGGGAAGAGUAGAAGACGGUACCUGACGAAUAAGCCACGGCUAACUACGUGCCAGCAGCCGCGGUAAUACGUAGGUGGCAAGCGUUGUCCGGAUUUACUGGGUGUAAAGGGCGUGCAGCCGGGCCGGCAAGUCAGAUGUGAAAUCUGGAGGCUUAACCUCCAAACUGCAUUUGAAACUGUAGGUCUUGAGUACCGGAGAGGUUAUCGGAAUUCCUUGUGUAGCGGUGAAAUGCGUAGAUAUAAGGAAGAACACCAGUGGCGAAGGCGGAUAACUGGACGGCAACUGACGGUGAGGCGCGAAAGCGUGGGGAGCAAACAGGAUUAGAUACCCUGGUAGUCCACGCUGUAAACGAUGGAUACUAGGUGUGCGGGGACUGACCCCCUGCGUGCCGCAGUUAACACAAUAAGUAUCCCACCUGGGGAGUACGAUCGCAAGGUUGAAACUCAAAGGAAUUGACGGGGGUCCGCACAAGCGGUGGAUUAUGUGGUUUAAUUCGAAGCAACGCGAAGAUCCUUAGCAGGGCUUGACAUCCUACUAACGAAGUAGAGAUACAUCAGGUGCCCUUCGGGGAAAGUAGAGACAGGUGGUGCAUGGUUGUCGUCAGCUCGUGUCGUGAGAUGUUGGGCUAAGUCCCGCAACGAGCGCAACCCCUAUUGUUAGUUGCUACGCAAGAGCACUCUAGCGAGACUGCCGUUGACAAAACGGAGGAAGGUGGGGACGACGUCAAAUCAUCAUGCCCCUUAUGUCCUGGGCUACACACGUAAUACAAUGGCGGUCAACAGAGG